GGUUAAGUUAGAAAGGGCGCACGGUGAAUGCCUUGGCACUAGGAGCCGAUGAAGGACGGGACUAACACCGAUAUGCUUCGGGGAGCUGUAAGUAAGCGCCGAUCCGGAGAUUUCCGAAUGGGGAAACCCACUGUUCGUAAUGGAACAGUAUCUUUACCUGAAUACAUAGGGUAUUGAAGGCAGACCCGGGGAACUGAAACAUCUAAGUACCCGGAGGAAGAGAAAGCAAACGCGAUUCCCUGAGUAGCGGCGAGCGAAACGGGAACAGCCCAAACCGAAAGGCUUGCCUUUCGGGGUUGUAGGACACUCAACAUGGAGUUACAAAGGAACGGGGUAGAUGAAGCGGUCUGGAAAGGCCGGCCAUAGAAGGUAAAAGCCCUGUAGUCGAAACUUCGUUCCCUCCUGAGUGGAUCCUGAGUACGGCCGGACACGUGAAAUCCGGUCGGAAGCAGGGAGGACCAUCUCCCAAGGCUAAAUACUCCCUAGUGACCGAUAGUGAACCAGUACCGUGAGGGAAAGGUGAAAAGCACCCCGGAAGGGGAGUGAAAGAGAUCCUGAAACCGUGUGCCUACAAGUAGUCAGAGCCCGUUCAUGGGUGAUGGCGUGCCUUUUGUAGAAUGAACCGGCGAGUUACGAUUGCAUGCGAGGUUAAGUUGAAGAGACGGAGCCGCAGCGAAAGCGAGUCUGAAUAGGGCGAAAUAGUAUGUAGUCGUAGACCCGAAACCAGGUGAUCUACCCAUGUCCAGGGUGAAGUCCAGGUAACACUGGAUGGAGGCCCGAACCCACGCACGUUGAAAAGUGCGGGGAUGAGGUGUGGGUAGCGGAGAAAUUCCAAUCGAACUUGGAGAUAGCUGGUUCUCUCCGAAAUAGCUUUAGGGCUAGCCUCACGUAGUUAGAGUCUUGGAGGUAGAGCACUGUUUGGACUAGGGGCCCUCAUCGGGUUACCGAAUUCAGACAAACUCCGAAUGCCAAUGACUUAUCCGUGGGAGUCAGACUGCGAGUGAUAAGAUCCGUAGUCAAAAGGGAAACAGCCCAGACCACCAGCUAAGGUCCCAAAGUAUACGUUAAGUGGAAAAGGAUGUGGAGUUGCUUAGACAACCAGGAUGUUGGCUUAGAAGCAGCCACCAUUUAAAGAGUGCGUAAUAGCUCACUGGUCGAGUGACUCUGCGCCGAAAAUGUACCGGGGCUAAACGUAUCACCGAAGCUGUGGGUGGACACCUUAUGGUGUCCGCGGUAGGAGAGCGUUCUAAGGGCGUUGAAGCUAGACCGUAAGGACUGGUGGAGCGCUUAGAAGUGAGAAUGCCGGUAUGAGUAGCGAAAGAUGAGUGAGAAUCUCAUCCACCGUAUGCCUAAGGUUUCCUGAGGAAGGCUCGUCCGCUCAGGGUUAGUCGGGACCUAAGCCGAGGCCGAAAGGCGUAGGCGAUGGACAACAGGUUGAUAUUCCUGUACCACCUCUUUAUCGUUUGAGUGAUGGGGGGACGCAGGAGGAUAGGGUAAGCGCACUGCUGGAUAUGUGCGUGUAAGCAGUUAGGCUGGUGAAUAGGAAAAUCCGUUCACCUUAAGGCUGAGCUGUGAUGCCGAGGGAAUUAUAGUACCGAAGUUCCUGAUUCCACACUGCCAAGAAAAGCCUCUAGCGAGAUAAAAGGUGCCCGUACCGCAAACCGACACAGGUAGGCGAGGAGAGAAUCCUAAGGUGAGCGAGAGAACUCUCGUUAAGGAACUCGGCAAAAUGACCCCGUAACUUCGGGAGAAGGGGUGCUUUUUGGGGUGAAUAGCCCCGAAGAGCCGCAGUGAAUAGGCCCAGGCGACUGUUUAGCAAAAACACAGGUCUCUGCAAAGCCGCAAGGCGAAGUAUAGGGGCUGACGCCUGCCCGGUGCUGGAAGGUUAAGAGGAGGGGUUAGCNGCGACUGUUUAGCAAAAACACAGGUCUCUGCAAAGCCGCAAGGCGAAGUAUAGGGGCUGACGCCUGCCCGGUGCUGGAAGGUUAAGAGGAGGGGUUAGCGCAAGCGAAGCUCUGAAUCGAAGCCCCAGUAAACGGCGGCCGUAACUAUAACGGUCCUAAGGUAGCGAAAUUCCUUGUCGGGUAAGUUCCGACCCGCACGANAAGCGAAGCUCUGAAUCGAAGCCCCAGUAAACGGCGGCCGUAACUAUAACGGUCCUAAGGUAGCGAAAUUCCUUGUCGGGUAAGUUCCGACCCGCACGAAAGGCGUAACGAUCUGGGCACUGUCUCAACGAGAGACUCGGUGAAAUUAUAGUACCUGUGAAGAUGCAGGUUACCCGCGACAGGACGGAAAGACCCCAUGGAGCUUUACUGUAGCCUGAUAUUGAAUUUUGGUACAGCUUGUACAGGAUAGGUAGGAGCCUGAGAAGCCGGAGCGCCAGCUUCGGUGGAGGCGUCGGUGGGAUACUACCCUGGCUGUAUUGAAAUUCUAACCCGCACCCCUCAUCGGGGUGGGAGACAGUGUCAGGUGGGCAGUUUGACUGGGGCGGUCGCCUCCUAAAAUGUAACGGAGGCGCCCAAAGGUUCCCUCAGAAUGGUUGGAAAUCAUUCGCAGAGUGUAAAGGCACAAGGGAGCUUGACUGCGAGACCUACAAGUCGAGCAGGGACGAAAGUCGGGCUUAGUGAUCCGGUGGUUCCGCAUGGAAGGGCCAUCGCUCAACGGAUAAAAGCUACCCUGGGGAUAACAGGCUUAUCUCCCCCAAGAGUCCACAUCGACGGGGAGGUUUGGCACCUCGAUGUCGGCUCAUCGCAUCCUGGGGCUGUAGUCGGUCCCAAGGGUUGGGCUGUUCGCCCAUUAAAGCGGUACGCGAGCUGGGUUCAGAACGUCGUGAGACAGUUCGGUCCCUAUCCGUCGUGGGCGCAGGAAAUUUGAGAGGAGCUGUCCUUAGUACGAGAGGACCGGGAUGGACGCACCGCUGGUGUACCAGUUGUCUUGCCAAAGGCAUCGCUGGGUAGCUAUGUGCGGACGGGAUAAGUGCUGAAAGCAUCUAAGCAUGAAGCCCCCCUCGAGAUGAGAUUUCCCAUAGCGUCAAGCUAGUAAGAUCCCUGAAAGAUGAUCAGGUUGAUAGGUCAGAGGUGGAAGCNNNNNNNNNNNGAUACUAAUCGAUCGAGGACUUAACCAA
rnacentral:rRNA from 1 species